rnacentral:misc_RNA from 1 species
AAAGUCGUAACAAGGUUUCCGUAGGUGAACCUGCGGAAGGAUCAUUACAGUGUUGCCUGCCCUCACGGGUAGAAACGCCCACCCUUGUAUAAUAUAUCUUGUUGCUUUGGCAGGCCGCCUUUGGGCACCGGCUCCGGCUGGAUCGUGCCUGCCAGAGGACCCCAAACUCUGAAUGUUAAUGUCGUCUGAGUACUAUAUAAUAGUUAAAACUUUCAACAACGGAUCUCUUGGUUCUG